rnacentral:rRNA from 1 species
UACGAAGGGUGCAAACGUUGCUCGGAAUCAUUGGGCGUAAAGCGCACGUAGGCGGCUUCAUAAGUCGGAUGUGAAAUCCCGUGGCUCAACCAUGGACGUGCAUCCGAAACUAUGAGGCUUGAGUAUGGAAGAGGGUCGCGGAAUUCCCGGUGUAGAGGUGAAAUUCGUAGAUAUCGGGAGGAACACCAGUGGCGAAGGCGGCGACCUGGGCCAAUACUGACGCUGAGGCGCGAAAGCUAGGGGAGCAAACAGG